rnacentral:tRNA from 1 species
UCUAUUAUGGCAGAUAAGUGCAAUGGAUUUAAGACCCAUAAAUAAAGAUAUUUUAAUCUUUUUAUAGAA